rnacentral:rRNA from 1 species
AGAGUUUGAUCCUGGCUCAGAACGAACGUUGGCGGCGUGGAUUAGGCAUGCAAGUUGUGCGUACCCAGCAAUGGGAAGCAGCGUAAGGGGCAGUAAGGCAUGGGUACCUACCUCGAGGCCGAGCAUAGCCCGUAGAGAUACGGGGUAAUUCUCGAUAAUGUCGUGAGACCAAAGGUCCGCCGCCUUGAGAGGGGCCCAUGUGAUAUUAGCUAGUUGGUGGGGUAACGGCCCACCAAGGCGAAGAUGUCUAGCGGGUGUGAGAGCACGACCCGCGCCACUGGCACUGAGACACUGGCCAGACACCUACGGGUGGCUGCAGUCGAGGAUCUUCGGCAAUGGGCGCAAGCCUGACCGAGCGACGCCGCGUGUGCGACGAAGGCCUUCGGGUUGUAAAGCACUGUCGAGGGGGAGAAAAGCCGAAAGGUUUGAUCUAUCCCUGGAGGAAGCACGGGCUAAGUUCGUGCCAGCCGCGGCGGUAAUUC